ACAAACAUCAUCUGGAACUUACUGAGUCUAAAACCACCCUCUUUGCACAACUAGAUCUAAACUAAAAAUCCACUGGACAUUGGAUUCUAUAAUGAAAAGAUUCUGGUGUAACAUUUUCUGAUCAACUUAACCAGGUGCACAACAGAGAAUAUGGGGCAAGCUUUUAACUGAGAGUUGGUUUGUGAACAUUUGAUUCAUUCUGCUAGUGUUCUUGCGACUCAGAUAGUUCAGGAGGCCCCCUAGCAAUAGGCAUUUCAUUACCAAAUCUAGUCUUGGGCUUUGCAUAAUCCACGAAGAUAACUCUUCCAUUCAGUGUCUUUCCAUUCAUCUCAGUUAGAGCUGUGUGUGCUUCAUCUAAAGAUGCAAAAGUUACAAAUCCGAAACCUUUUGAUUUGUCAGAGACUCUGUCACUUACAAUUUUAGCUUCAACAACUUGACCGUAUUGAGAAAAAGCUUCA
rnacentral:misc_RNA from 1 species